UUAGGCUUAAAUAUCACAUUCUUUUAUGUAUGUAGGCGCUUUCUUGGUUUUAGUUCCUGUAUCAUAUUCUUUUUGGUUUUAGUCCUGUAUAUGUAAAUCUUGUUGAUUUUUGUCCCUCCCGUUUGCGUUUGUAGCUAAAAAAUUUCCCUUGUGCAUUUUGGUGGUUGUGUCAGUUUUGAGGCUUGGUAAAAUUUGCAGGUUUGACCUCUCACAGGUGAUCUUUGCAUAAAGGCCUAGGAGUUUAGCCUUAUAUUUGUUGUCAUGUUUUUUGCUGCCUUAUAUUUGUUGGUUAGCCUUGAAAUUUUGUAGUUGGAGCCUAACUUGUUGCCCCGUAUAUUGUUCAUAAGGAACAAGGCCUAUAUGAUGACUUAGGAGAAGAAUCCAAUGUAAGAUUAUAGAACUAAUAGUGAUAUAUAAAUGGUACAACUGCCUCAAUCUAGAAUCCACCCUUGUAAUUUCAUUUCUCUGAUUUUCUGAUCCUUCUCAUUUACAUUGGAUUCAUUAAUGCUUCAAUUGUUUGAAAUUUGAAUCUCUAAAUGUU
rnacentral:lncRNA from 1 species